GUAGCGAUCUCUGCUCGACACGGAGCGGACUACUAGCUCUAUCCCGGACAAUACAGUGCGAGCGAGUGUACAGGAGCCAGCAAGUUCGUCAUCUGUCGUGACAUCGUGCCUACAUCCUGGGUUCCAGCAAUCUCCGGGACUUUACACUCACUCAGGAGCUGUGCCUGGAGUGUCUCCCUCGGUAGAGCGUGUUUUCUUACAAGAGAAUUCGGAAACGUUUCCGUUCUUACUCCGGCAGUUCCAUCGAAAUAUAUUGAUUCGUAACGGGCGGAAAAUCACAUAGGAUGGCGAAAAUAUAAUUGCAUAUGAAAGAGUUCUGAAUUUGACAACUCAAAUAUCGUCCCUGCAUUAGUCAUCAAUUUUGCUGAGUUAUAAAUGCGUUAUACAAAAAAGCAGAGAUUAUGGACUACUAUCGAAAGAUCUCAGAAAGUCAUCAAAAUCAAGUCUGUAUUUAAAAAUAUUCUUUUACGCCAUGUCGUAUGAAAGAUAUUACACUAU